rnacentral:ncRNA from 1 species
AAGAUUGAAGCAACCAGGAAAGUUCAGGUGCAGUAAUGGGGCGGUUCACAAGUGACAUGGUGGUCAGGCUGCUGAAUGGCAGACAGAGUGAAUGCAGAAUAAACAAGACCUGACAAAACAGUUGAAGAAACCAGGAACAAUAAGUCAAUGAAGCAAAGUGUUCUGCACUAUUUGAAGAAAGCAGGCAGGAUGAACCAAACAUCACUUCAAACUUAAACCAAGAAGUUGUUAAGGGGGAAGAAUCAACAAGGGAGAGGACACAGCACUUCAAUCUU